rnacentral:rRNA from 1 species
UAUUGCACAAUGGGGGAAACCCUGAUGCAGUGACACCGCGUAUAGGAAGAAGGUCUUCGGAUUGUAAAUUACUUUAGACAGGGAAGAAAAAAGACAGUACCUGUAGAAUAAGCUACGGCUAACUACGUGCCAGCAGCCGCGGUAAUACGUAGGGAGCAAGCGUUAUCCGGAAUUAUUGGGUGUAAAGGGUGCGUAGACGGGACAGCAAGUUAGUUGUGAAAGCCCUCGGCUUAACUGAGGAACUGCAACUAAAACUAUUGUUCUUGAGUGCAGGAGAGGAAAGCGGAAUUCCUAGUGUAGCGGUGAAAUGCGUAGAUAUUAGGAGGAACACCAGUGGCGAAAGCGGCUUUCUGGACUGUAACUGACGUUGAGGCACGAAAGUGUGGGGAGCAAACAGG